GUGUCAGCCGCCGCGGUAAGACGAACCGUGCGAACGUUAUUCGGAAUCACUGGGCUUAAAGCGCGUGUAGGCGGGCCGCCGCGUCGGUUGCUGAAAUCCCCCGGCUCAACCGGGGAACGGGCAGCGAUACGGGCGGCCUGGAGGGAGGUAGGGGGGGCCGGAACUCACGGUGGAGCGGUGAAAUGCGUUGAGAUCGUGAGGAACGCCCGUGGCGAAAGCGGGCCCCUGGACCUUUUCUGACGCUGAGACGCGAAAGCUAGGGGAGCGAACGGGAUUAGAUACCCGCGUAGUCC
rnacentral:rRNA from 1 species